CUGCCAGACUCCUACGGGAGGCAGCAGUGGGGAAUAUUGCACAAUGGGGGAAACCCUGAUGCAGCGACGCCGCGUGAGCGAUGAAGUAUUUCGGUCUGUAAAGCUCUAUCAGCAGGGAAGAAGAUGACGGUACCUGACUAAGAAGCCCCGACUAACUACGUGCCAGCAGCCGCGGUAAUACGUAGGGGGCAAGCGUUAUCCGGAUUUACUGGGUGUAAAGGGAGCGUAGACGGCGAAGAAAGUCUGAAGUGAAAGCCCGCGGCUCAACCGCGGAAUGGCUUUGGAAACUUUUUUGCUGGAGUACCGGAGAGGUAAGCGGAAUUCCUAGUGUAGCGGUGAAAUGCGUAGAUAUUAGGAGGAACACCAGUGGCGAAGGCGGCUUACUGGACGGUAACUGACGUUGAGGCUCGAAAGCGUGGGGAGCAAACAGG
rnacentral:rRNA from 1 species